UGGACGGACCAGGUACGUAGGGAAUCUUAUCGUGAACGUUGCCUCAUACCAGACGGGAUAUCGAGAUUCGGUAAUUUGGAGCUCAUACCGGAUAAGGUAUGGGGACAACCCAUUUCACACUCAUACCAGAUGGAGUAUGGGGACGACCCCUUAAUUAAAAAUAUUAAAGGAAAGGGUUUACGCGUAGUAGAGACAUCCCUAUGGACCCCUAUGGAUACCAAUAGGCUGAUAAAAGAGAAA
rnacentral:lncRNA from 1 species